ACUUGAGCAUGUGUCUCAAGUAUAAAAUAUAGAUGGAUAGGUAACUAUAUAUAUAGUGAAAGCAUUCUUUACAAGAGAUUGCACUGAACAGGGAUUCCAAUUCCAGUUUCAGUUCGAGAUCUGAGAACCAUGCAUAGCACCAGAACCGAACCAAUUAGUAAAGAACCAGAAUCGAACCUAAGCAUCAAAAUCAGUUCAGUUCAAUACAUUUCUUG
rnacentral:misc_RNA from 1 species